GACGAACGCUGGCGGCGUGCUUAACACAUGCAAGUCGAACGGAAAGGCCCUGCUUUUGUGGGGUGCUCGAGUGGCGAACGGGUGAGUAACACGUGAGUAACCUGCCCUUGACUUUGGGAUAACUUCAGGAAACUGGGGCUAAUACCGGAUAGGAGCUCCUGCUGCAUGGGGGGGGUUGGAAAGUUUCGGCGGUGGGGGCUGGACUCGCGGCUUAUCAGCUGGUUGGUGGGGUAGUGGCUUACCACGGCUUUGACGGGUAGCCGGCCUGAGAGGGUGGCCGGCCUCAUUGGGCCUGAGAUACGCACCAGACUCCUACGGGAGGCAGCGGUGGGGAAUAUUGCACAAUGGGCGGGAGCCUGUUGCAGCGACGCCGCGUGCGGGAUGACGGCCUUCGGGUUGUAAACCGCUUUCGCCUGUGACGAAGCGUGAGUGACGGUAAUGGGUAAAGAAGCACCGGCUAACUACGUG
rnacentral:rRNA from 1 species